AUUACGACGAUGUUGAGAAUAAAAAAUAUUCGGAGUAGACGAUAAUUCUAUGGAUUUGUUACAUUAAUGUACGUAUAAUAAAUUUAAUACAAUUCUAAUUAACAUUGUGCUAAUGGAUAUAAAUGAAAAACAAUCAUAACUUCACGAAUUUCAACGCAUCGGUUAAUUAAGAAUAAAAACAUCGGAACAUUUCUUUGCUAAUGUAAAUACAUGCAUGCAUAUGCACACACACAAAGUUGAAGAACGACCAGGCAUGACAGGUUAUGUUUAUUAUCUCAUUAGACUUCUCUUUACAAUUGCAUGCACUCGAUGUAAAUAGAUAUGAUGCAAUGCAUGAAGAACAUAGCCCUAAGAUUUAUGCAGUCAUAUUCGAUAAUGUGUAUGCAUUGAAAUUAGAAGAUCUAUAACCGAGAUUACAAGAUCACAUACUUUUCUAUGGUUUCAGAAAUUUUUUUACCAUAAUUUCAUUCUUUUUAUGGUUUCAGAAAGACGUUUGCCAUCAUCCCAUUCUUUCCAUCGUUUUAGAAAAACGUUCACCAUUGAAAUCAUACUAAUUAAUGGUAGAAGAUACAGCUACAUACUUACAUUCAAGUAUUUCUUUCUUUCUUUUCUUUAAUUUUAGGAAUAUAUUAAUAUCUAAAUAGAUCUCCGACGCAGCAACCACCCCAUGGUGAAAUCUGGUAACCAAUAUUGCUUAUGGUGUCUAUAGAAUAUAUAUGGUACAACGUAAGCAUAUGAAUGAAAUGAUUGAUUGAAUGAAUUAUUUAAUUACACGUUACAAUUUUAGUUUAAAUUUUAUUAAUUUAAAUUCAUUUUAUUUCUUAUGGUAUAUUAAAUUAACAUAAAUAAUUCAAGACACGUUUAAUCGAUUUUAAUUAAUUGUUUAAAUGAUUAUUUAUAAAUAUUGUACCUUGUUUAGUUUUACA